rnacentral:rRNA from 1 species
CAAUAGCGUAUAUUAAAGUUGUUGCGGUUAAAAAGCUCGUAGUUGGAUUUCUGCUGAGAACGACCGGUCCGCCCUCUGGGUGUGUAUCUGGCUCUUUCUUGGCAUCUUCUUGGUGAACGUUGCUGCACUUGACUGUGUGGAGCGCUACCCAGGACUUUUACUUUGAGGAAAUUAGAGUGUUUCAAGCAGGCAUACGCCUUGAAUACAUUAGCAUGGAAUAAUAAGAUAGGACCUCGGUUCUAUUUUGUUGGUUUCUAGAGCUGAGGUAAUGAUUAAUAGGGAUAGUUGGGGGCAUUCGUAUUUAACUGUCAGAGGUGAAAUUCUUGGAUUUGCUAAAGACGGACUACUGCGAAAGCAUUUGCCAAGGAUGUUUNCAUUGA